UACAGAGGGUGCGAGCGUUGUUCGGAAUUACUGGGCGUAAAGCGCGCGCAGGCGGCCCUUUAAGUCUACCCGUGAAAUGCCGUAGCUCAGCUCCGUGCACGCCGGGGGAUACUGGGGGGCUGGAGACAGGUAGAGGCAAGCGGAAUUCCGGGUGUAGCGGUGGAAUGCGUAGAUAUCCGGAAGAACACCUGAGGCGAAGGCGGCUUGCUGGGCCUGAUCUGACGCUGAGGCGCGAAAGCGUGGGGAGCAAACAGG
rnacentral:rRNA from 1 species